AAAUAAAAAUACGAAAAAUCUUGUGUUCGAACUUGUGUGUUUGGGUGAAUAAUUGUUAAGAAAAAGUUUAAAAAAAAUAGAAAAAAUGGAGCAAAAGAAAGAAGGGAUAACAUGAGUUGGGCCUGAUGGGCUCAGAUUCAAGCCCAGACCAAAACUCGUACUAGGCCCAAACCUCAAAAACCGGAAAUGAAUUUGGUCCUUCUUAUAAUAGUGAAAUAUUGAUAAUUAUUAUUUGACCGUUGAGAGAAUACAAAAGCCCCGAUGGUUGACACUGUGACAACGAGGGGGCGCCCGACGCACACGCCGCCGAUCAAGAUCUGAUACUCAAGAAAUUCUUCGUUAAAGUGAGCGGGGUUGAGCGCGAAAAUGAAAUGAGCAGGUUUUAAGAUAAAUAUAAAUAUAGGUUUCGUGGUGGACGAAGAAUUCUUUUAACUUGUUUCAGUUGUGGCUCUUGUUCGUUCCUUUGUUUUUUUUUGGGCAUUUUUUUUCCAUAAAAUUGAUAAGAAGAAGAACACGAAUUUGUUAUCAGUAUUGCUUUCGUAUGUGUGGAUAGUGUUAUAGUUUAAAAGGAAAAGUGAAACGGAUGAGUGAUUGAAGUCGAUAAGUUUAGGAAAGGUUUCGUAAUAUAAACGUAUCCCUUGCAAUAGCAAAUUGGAAAUUACGAACUAUAGAUUGUAGAGAUUCAACUGACUCCAUUGCGUUGUAAAAUAUCAGUCCUUAAGUUUGUCCUUUUUGUUAAGGGUAUCUUGUUGUUGAUUCUUCUUUUCUGAUUCCUACAUUUGCUGACAAAUGCAAGCAUCACGAGGUGCCUUAAUUUAUUAUUUUUCUUUGGUGCUGAUAUAUCUCGAAACUUCUGGACUCCUGUAGGAUCCUCUUAUGCUUCAAGUUAAAAUAAAUUUGGGUAUCUUAGUUUACCAUUUGAUUCAUCUGUGGAGUAUGUGAAGAAACAAUAUCAUAAGGUGAUCUUUUCAGCUAGUCAAACAAAUGAGUAUUGGGUUGUUUAUGGAUAUCAUCAAGUAACAAUGAGAAUUGUUUUAGCAUUAGAUUGUCCUCUUACAGUUGUCUUUAUUAGUUCACCCUGAUAAAUGUAAACACCCACAAGCAAAGGAGGUAAUUGGAGGUAAUAACUCUAUAUUAUUGUUCAAGAAGUGAUAUUUCCUGCAAGAACAAUAAAAGUUAUGACUCUUUAGCCGAGUUAGGUGGCCUUCUUCCGUCCUCCUGUUAAUUGUAUAGUUCUACCAAUCCCUCGUGAGCUAAUGCUUAUCUAUUUGGAGUUUAGAUAUUCAGCAAUGUAGCAUAACUUUGGAACUCUUGUUACUACUAAACACAAGAAGUUCUAUUAAGUACUUUGGGUUGGAUUACUUGUAUAGGUUUACAAUUCUUUUUUAUGAUUAAGGUUCCAUUCGUCAAGGUGGAAAUUGUUUGCAUGGUGGUAGUUGUGUCCCGCAUUGCAGAUACAGUAGGUUAAACACAAUAAAUGAAUUUGGGAGGAUCUCUGUUAUUUUAUCUAUCAUUUGCAUUUAAAUUCCUUUUGUUACAGUGUGACCUCAGUAGUAGCUUCGUGCAAGUAGAAUACAUCUCUUUCUCAAGUCAUGUGUGGCAUCAUUGCACUUCUCUUUUUUUGUCAAAUUUCAUCACACUUCUCGGAUAAUUGGUUGUGCAGGUAGAAUUUAAAAAUUUUCUAUCUAGUUCAUGAAUGUUUUUCAAAUUGCAACUCAAACAAUAUAGUAUUAGCAAAAGGUCAACAAAUUUUAGUCGACCCAUGAGACAGAGAGAGAUCUUUUGAACCAAGUUAAUGCUGCUAAAGGUUUGCCCAGACGCCUUUCAUGUGGAGGACCUACUCCAACUGUGUGCCAUCUUCUUUGUUGUUUUAUAUUUGGAUUACAGUGCUUCACAGUUCUGAUAUCUCAGUUUUAGAGAUGGAUCUUUGUACUCAACAUAAUAAAAUGAGAAAGACGCAGUUGAUCGGAUUUUAUCAUGAUAGACUUUUAGGCUAGUAGGGAAUAUUAUGCAUGCUUUCUGUUGUUGCUGACUGUUCUAGUUAUUCCUUGGAGAAGAACUUAAAGCAAAGAGGGAAAAAAGACACUGCCACCAAGUUAAAGUCAUCAGUGGAUGAGAGAGAAUCUUGUCCAUUUAGUAUCAAGAUGUACAACUAUAGUUGAAGGUCCAGACAACAAGCUGCUUGUUUGACUGCCGAAGCUCAAAACAAAGGACCCUAACAAAAUCCUACUAUCAAAGAGACCUAUGAAAUGAGCGAGGGUAGUCAGUGUAGCCACCGCAUACAUCUCAUUAACCAAAUAGGAGCCCUCUUGGAAAACUUUCCAAAGGGUAGUGCUGGAAAUUGUGUCAACCUGAAUCUGAUAUUGUGCCAAUUGUUGUGCAAUGCAGCUGAAUUGACCUAAUCAUAUCCGGUGUUCUGUAUGCAGCAAGGACCAAAUAGCUGCUCCUCCAUUGAUAUAGUACAUCGUGUAAAACCAACCUCCAGUUGUAUGGUACAUCAUGUAAAACCAACAGCAUCUACCAGGGAGCGGAAAUUAAAUUUCUGUACAUCGAUUGACAUUAACAUUUUGAUUAUAAUAGAAAUGUUCUAGUUCUCCAAUCCAAUGGGUAAGAUUACUAAACUUAACAAAGCUUGUUGGCUGACAGUGAAAAUGCACAUAAUUUCUCCAUCUGAAAGCAAUAGAACACUUUUACUAGCACCCUGUAGUUUCAGAUGCUAUAAUAUCCAAUAAAAGGGAUUCAUUAAAUCCAAUAACAAAGUUAAGAAUUGUCAACAAAAUUCACUGGCAAUGGCAAAGGUAAAUCACAACAUAAAAUGAGUUCAUUACUAGUCGCAGCUCUAGUUACCAAUGGAUCCCAAGCUCCAAUGACUUGAAAAGCAGAAAAUUUCCACAAGAAAAACCACUGUAUCUAGUCAAAACUUGACUUAUUGUUAAUAGAAGCUGAAAACACCAGCACCUAAUGACAAAAACCAGUCAAUGUGAAUGGAAAACAGCCUCUUAUCAUCACACAAUGGUUACAUUGUACAUAUUACAUAGAGAAACAAAAUACACAAGGCAACACCCUCUAUUUUACAAGAACAAAACACGAUUUCAACAUGAUAUAUCUCACCAAUUACGUAUGGGGACCUCAUGUCCUCUUAAAAUAGAGAAUAAUAUAUAAUACACCUACAUGAAGGACAAAAAAAAGGGGGGGAAAAAUAUAUAAGAGAACUAACAAGAAAUACCCAGCCUGCUCUGCCCACCCAAGGAAGAAAUGAAAAUUCUUACUACCUGUUUCUCAUGUACAGUGGACACUACCGAAAUCAGCACAACUAUGUAUAUAUCCUGUGAUCCUGCUGUAAAAACUUGUCCCC